ACUAGGGGGUCAAUACAUUGAAUGUAUUGACAAGUUCACCAAAGGGUUAUAACAGAUCCUAUCAAGUACAUGCAGUAUUGGCUAGGUGGGGUUUGGCUAUUUGCAUAAAAGCAUCACUGUUUCAUCCUAUCAUUUUUAAAAAAAUAAUUUUAUCUCUAUUGGACACGGGGUAGACACACCCAUGCUCCUAUUAACCUAGAGCACAUUGAGUAGACACAUCAAUGCUCCUACCCAGUUCAAACCAUUCAUUUUAUUAGGAAAUUGGAAUGAGUGAGACCUUCCUUACAACCCCCACAUCUAGUUGCUUAGAAUUGUCCGUAACCAGGGACACGGCUAAGUACUUAGUUUGACACUCUCGAGAGGUUGUACACAUUCCCCACAAGAAACCGACGGGUUAAUCCCUUGCUGUCCUCAGGAUAGAGUAGAACCGGCGUCGAUUACAAGAAUUUUCAGACCAUAGUCACUCAGACCACCGAGGGACCUACGUUCCCACCUACACGGCUACAUCUGCACAAUCCCUCGGAUCCAGGAUCAUAUGUCUUACUCCAUCAAGCCAGAGCUCAUAUUAGCAUGUCGUUGUACUGGAAGCUACUAAACAGGAAACUAGUCCAGUCUCUGAUACCCCAGGUGGCAUUCCACAUUUGCGACGCAGGCGCUCCCAUAGAAAUGGCGAGACAACUCAUAGAAAUAGACCCAUAGAAAUGGACCUGACGUCGCAUACAUCUCAAAUACUCAAAGCAGCCCACCCAGGACGGUUUAUUGAAUUACUUGUUUUGCCAUACACUAGGAAAACCAUACUUUAAUUCAAUAACAACACAUUGUAAUAAUACCAACCCUCGUAUACUAACAUAGCAUAGCAUUUGACUACUACGAUGGCAAUUGGUGGUAAGGGCAUGGCAAGGGUAUCCUAUACUACUAGGAGAAAUCAUAGCUAGCAUAGAUAUAUACAAUAAUAAUCCUAACAAUGCAACUAAUAAAAUCUAGUGCAUAAUAAAAAUAAUAGGAUGAUGGUCAAAGUGAAGUUGCCUUAAUAGCAGUUGGUAUUCAAGCACUCUUCGCAAUCACACAGUUCGCUCUUCGAGCAAACUAAACGAAGCAAACAAUGCACACAUAAACAUACAAUACAACCAAAAAAGAAAAAAAAUAUGCCAUGAUGCAAUGCAUAACAUGUGACAUGAUUGGGUUGAUUUUAUUUGAAAAAAAAACAGAUUAUAUUUUUGGUCCAAAACAUUAGCAAUUAAAAUUAAUGCAUUAGAUUUUAAAACAAAAUGCAAAAACUAGGGAUUAAACCAUAAAACAAGGUUUUAUUGGCAUCAGCCUAUUAAUUUAAUUCAAAAAGUUAAUUUCUCUGUCCCAUUGUACAGUGGACAUUAAAACAAAUUUUUUAGCACUGGUUUUAAUUAAAAAGGAUCUCUAAAUCAAAAGAUAUGAUUUAAAUGGCAUUAAAGGCCUUUCUGUAAUUUGAAUGUGGUUAAGUUAUUCCAAUUUAAAUUUGGGCAGUUCAGCAAGAUUAUACAAGUCCUAAGGAUUCCAGAAAGGUGUGGAUCAUCAAAUUUGGCCAAACGGUUUAAAAGAUAUGAACGUUUGAAGUUUCGGGGGCUUUUCUGCAAAAGUGCCAUUUGAUUCAAUUCGGGAUUAAAAAUUACAUUUUCGUUUUUAUAAAUCAAUGCGACGUGUCUCUCCCUGAUUGGACGGUACCAGUUCACUUAAAAACAAAUAACCGGAUCUAAUCUCGGCCAACCCAACGGCCACG
rnacentral:lncRNA from 1 species